CAGGUCUCUAGCUCGCAGGGACCCAAAGAAAUCAACCGAUGAAAUCGGGAAACGAUUGGCGGAAUCUGGAUUCCCCCGCCCUACAGAGUUGUGCCUGUGCCCCGUCGCCCAGGAGGGCCACCCUGGACCCGUGGAGAGAGUGGGCACACGCAGGUCACCGGAAGCAGGGCCUGGAGUUGGCCUGGGAAGGCCUCCUCCAGCGCCCCGGCCCCGCCGUAAGGUCUUCGUUCACCGAUCCUGGGACCAGGACUUGGAGUCCCCGGAGUCAGAGCCCGAGGAGUCCGGUGCAGGAGCAAAAGCCGGGUCGGCUCCAGAGCCCGGCCCAAAGGCAUCAGGGGCCUCGGCGUCUUUUCAGGCAGGCGAGGUAUCUGGAGCGACUCCUGCAGGGGCCCGGGAGCCAGCAGGUGACCUGGGACCUGU